rnacentral:rRNA from 1 species
AACGAACGCUGGCGGCGUGGAUUAGGCAUGCAAGUCGAACGCGAAAGAGGGGGCAACCCCUCGAGUAGAGUGGCGAACGGGUGAGUAACGCGUGAAGAACCUGCCUUCAAGAGGGGGAUAACACUCCCAACGGGGUGCUAAUACCGCAUGAGACCACGGGGUCGCAUGGCCCUGAGGUCAAAGGUGGCCUCUAUUUAUAAGCUACCACUUGAAGAUGGCUUCGCGUCCCAUUAGCUAGUUGGCGGUGUAACGGACCACCAAGGCGACGAUGGGUAGCUGGUCUGAGAGGAUGGUCAGCCACACUGGGACUGAGAUACGGCCCAGACUCCUACGGGUGGCAG